UGAGGAAUAUUGGUCAAUAGGCGAGAGCCUGAACCAGCCAAGUAGCGUGCAGGAAGACGGCCCUAUGGGUUGUAAACUGCUUUUAUGUGGGGAUAAAGUGCGUGACGUGUCAUGCAUUGCAGGUACCACAUGAAUAAGGACCGGCUAAUUCCGUGCCAGCAGCCGCGGUAAUACGGAAGGUCCGGGCGUUAUCCGGAUUUAUUGGGUUUAAAGGGAGCGUAGGCUGUCUAUUAAGCGUGUUGUGAAAUAUACCGGCUCAACCGGUGGCUUGCAGCGCGAACUGGUCGACUUGAGUAUGCAGGAAGUAGGCGGAAUUCAUGGUGUAGCGGUGAAAUGCUUAGAUAUCAUGACGAACUCCGAUUGCGCAGGCAGCUUACUGUAGCAUAACUGACGCUGAUGCUCGAAAGUGCGGGUAUCAAACAGG
rnacentral:rRNA from 1 species